CUACUCCUGUACACACCCUCAGGCCCUCACCCCUGUGACAUUCCCUCCCCACAGGCCACUGCCUGUCCCAGCAACACGACUCUCUACUGCCACUCCUAGCCCCUGGCUAAGCCAGUCCCGGGCCCCCCUUAACUGGAGUACACCUGCCCAGAAAUCCGUAAAUCUGCUAGUUCUCCUAGAAGAAAAGCACCAGAGACGAAGAGUCCAGAUCAAGAGCCAGAGGACUUAGAGUCCAGUCUCAGCUCCACAGAGGACCAGCUGCUGCAAGACCUCGGGCAGGUUGCUUGACUUCUCCGAGUUUUUGUUUCUUCGUCCCCCAAAUGGAGAUUUCCCUCUCAUCUGCACAAUCGGGAUUUUCCUUCAUCUGCAAAAUAAGGGAUUACAACACUUGCUAGGCCAAUCCACACAGUUAUCCUUGGCCCGUGUGUGAAGAGUCCUCUGACACACAUGGAGUGCAAGGGGAGAUGAGGUGAUUAUUAUAAUCGCCUGCAAUGCUGGCAUUACAUGGGCUUCCAGCCUCUCCAGAGUUCCCCAAAGCUAGGCUGAGGCCUUGGCACCAGGAAACCAAGGGAUGAGUGAAGCCGAACCUCUUCCAGGACAAAGCAGGUGACAUGUUCUAAUGGAUUCUGAAGAGGGUUUGUGUUCCUGCCCUUAACCAGUGUAGCGCCAUUUGUACAGGAGGCCCGGAAGCCCGCCCAACGGCUCGGGCUCUCCGAGAGGAAAAUUGGCAGCUCCGGGAAGUGAGCAGCUCUCAGGUCGGACUUGAUUAGGGACCAAUUUGGGCCUGUUAGCCGAGCCUCCAGUAUCAUCUCGGCCAAUUACUGGCCCAGCCUGGCCUGCAGCUGGCUGCUCCUUCCAAGCUGGACACUUUUAUUUCCAGCAGAGCUCUCCCUGCGCCUGAGGCAAGAGACCGGGGUGACUGUAGCCCAUUAACAAGAUGGAGAGAGAAAUAACUCACUCUGUUAAGGUCAUACUGAACAAAUUAUGAAUAACAGAUGAACAAGGAAGUGACCAUAUCUUGAGCCCCAGAGAGACUCAAACACAAGGCCGGUUAGCUGAACAAGGCCGCCCCAUUUGGGAUGGAGCCGACCCAGCUUACUGAGUUGGGGCUGCUGGACAUUUACAGAAAAAACCUUAGCCUUGUCUGAUUUUUCUCCAUGCUUUCCCAAGACAGAGCCAUUUCCAAUUUAAAAAGCGUCAAAAACAUGAGGCGAUGAGGGAGAAGAAAGAAGCACCUUGAUAUCCACACAGAAGUUUUCAGUAUUAUUAGUGCUAAGUGUUACAAACGCUCAUUUUUCCUUCUUCAUCACCAUUAGCUAACCUUAGUAGAGUGCUAGUUAUUCACAUGAGGUUUGAGGGAGUGGGUGGUGAUGAGGCAGGAAGGGAGCUGGCGACCCAAGAAACACAAUGGGAAAUUAACACUGGGACGAUGUUAUUACGGCAAUUGCUGAGUUGUAAGUUGGCUAAGCAAAUAGAAAGUUGGUCAAGUCUGAGGUUUUCUAGAACUUUCUUCCGCCUAGACUUUCGUCAAGAAAAGGGGAAUAUCUAAGCUUAAAGAUAAAAGCGAUAGGAGAAAAGAUGCUAUGACCUUGAUGAACACAUUCAUACAAGCAGACACUACUAGUUCACAGCCUUGAAAGAAAUUAUUCCUUUGACACCAGAUAUGGAAAAUUCUCUAUGCCUCAUAGAGGGAAGGAGGGGAUUUAGUGGGGGAACUAAAUACACGGGGGAACAAAUACAGAUAAAAAGGAAGCCUCCGUCCCUGCCUUCAGGGAGUCCAUCGUCUAAUGAGAGGUUAAAACCAGUAGGAUUGUAAUCGUCCUUAUAAACCUGAGUGAAAACCCAACCGACAAUGUGUACAAUGAACCCCAGAGACUCAAUCAGUUCCUAUUACUGUGAAAUCUCAGGUUAACCAAAGAUUCCCAGCCAGUGACGCACUGACUGUAAGCAAUAUUUGAAACAAUAAAACCUCCUGUAACAGGAAAAGAA